CUUUUGCUGGCGGCCGGCGCACGGGUGAGUAACACGUAUCCAACCUGCCCUUUACUCGGGGAUAGCCUUUCGAAAGAAAGAUUAAUACCCGAUAGCAUAAUGAUUCCGCAUGGUUUCAUUAUUAAAGGAUUCCGGUAAAGGAUGGGGAUGCGUUCCAUUAGGUUGUUGGUGAGGUAACGGCUCACCAAGCCUUCGAUGGAUAGGGGUUCUGAGAGGAAGGUCCCCCACAUUGGAACUGAGACACGGUCCAA
rnacentral:rRNA from 1 species